rnacentral:rRNA from 1 species
CAGUAGCCACGGUAAAACGAAGGGGGCUAGCGUUGUUCGGAAUUACUGGGCGUAAAGCGCACGUAGGCGGAUAGUUAAGUCAGGGGUGAAAUCCCAGAGCUCAACUCUGGAACUGCCUUUGAUACUGGGUAUCUUGAGUAUGGAAGAGGUGAGUGGAAUUCCGAGUGUAGAGGUGAAAUUCGUAGAUAUUCGGAGGAACACCAGUGGCGAAGGCGGCUCACUGGUCCAUUACUGACGCUGAGGUGCGAAAGCGUGGGGAGCAAACAGGAUUAGAUACCCGGGUAGUCCCUGUCUCUUAUAU